UAUUAUCAAUAAGUAAUAUUUAUAAUCAGUUUGCAAAGCAUAGCCUUCAAAAUAGAAAAUAUCACUAAAGCAUUGCCUUAUUCCUACCACAAACUAAAAAGCAUGUUAUAAAAGCCAUCUGCAUAGUUGUUUACAACCUCUCAAAAUCUAAAACACAAUCUUACCAAAACUCAAUCAACCCUAAAUGAAACCUAUCUUGACGUUUAUUUCAAAU
rnacentral:lncRNA from 1 species